AUUGAACGCUGGCGGCAUGCUUUACACAUGCAAGUCGAACGGGCUUGGGGGCUUGCUCCCAAGUUAGUGGCGAACGGGUGAGUAAUACAUCGGAACGUACCGUGUAGUGGGGGAUAACUUAGCGAAAGUUAGGCUAAUACCGCAUACGAUCUACGGAUGAAAGUGGGGGACCUUCGGGCCUCACGCUAUACGAGCGGCCGAUGUCUGAUUAGCUAGUUGGGUGAGGUAAAGGCUCACCAAGGCGACGAUCAGUAGCGGGUCUGAGAGGAUGAUCCGCCACACUGGGACUGAGACACGGCCCAGACUCCUACGGGAGGCAGCAGUGGGGGAAUUUUGGGACAAUGGGCGAAAGCCUGAUCCAGCCAUGCCGCGUGUCUGAAGAAGGCC
rnacentral:rRNA from 1 species